GGUCUUUAAUUUGUCUCAUCAUCAUAGUUUCAAAAAUUGGCCUCCUCCAAACCAGAAAUACUUGCCACUGGAUUAGCAAUGCAGCGGAGACCUGGGAUACAGCUUUGGGUAUAUGUCUCAAGAAUCAGCUCUGCUUAGCCGAUUUUGAUACAAAGGACCACUUCUAUAUUCUUGAAGCGCUUUUAAUGAACGUGCAACCAAAAGAGGAAGAUGAAUUUUGGUUCGGCCUUAACCGACUACAAGGACCAGGGCUCCACUACAUAUCUAAUUUUGAGUCCAUAAGGUACGUGCCAAAAUUUUCUCAAAUCGCCGUCAUCGAAAACAAGAAGUGUGGCUUUUUAAA